UGCUUUAAACCCUAAUCUUCCAUCUUUUUAAUUCCUUAUAUUUUUGCAUUAUCGGUAAUCUCGAUAUGAUUGCUUAUCUUGGUAUUAGGGCACGUUUUGGAUUGUUGUAUCAAUACUUGUAUCAAUACUUGGGUCUUCCUUUUGAUUAUCAACUAAUAUGACAAUCAAAAAAAAAAGUUCCAAAAAAAAAACAAAAAGGUUACUGUUCAUCCGUGUUAAAAUUAGAAAUCGUAUACAUUGUUCUUCACUGUUUCAUUUAGAAAUUGGAAUUCCUUGUGCUCGUUGUUGAUUUUGGUUCUGAGAUCUCCGAUUUACUGAAUUGAGCUUGAAAUUCGAAGUUGGUUUGAGAAUUGAAACCUAAAUCGACCAACAACAGAAAUCGAAAAUUGGGAGAUUUGCUCCGAAUCGAAAUUUUGAGCUCGAAAUAUAUUGGGUGUGUCCUAAUCUUGUUGGUACAGCUUGAUUGAGGUGAAAUCUGAAGUUAGGGCUCGAUUACAACUGAAUCCGAGCUGGUUGCUAGGGUUUUGGGUUCGAAACUUCGAACUGAUUGUCGACGAGGAAGACGACACUAGGUCUUCUGAUUUUGGGGAUCGAUUCUCAAGCUAUUCUGAAGCUGAAUCUGAAAUUUGGAUUAGAUUGAAGUUUGUUUGAGUACGAAAAUUUACGAUAUCGACUCGCCGAAGAAGACGACUUGUGCUUGCUGAGAUUAGUUUCUGGGGGUUUGAUUCUCUGCUUGAAAGUAGCUCAUAAUUCAAAAUUGAUUCCACUUGGUUGAGCUUUGGGAGAAAAAUCACUGCUGAGGCUUGAGGAUCCUAAGAACACCAGUUGCAAAUUUGAAGAACUUCGCGGAUUGAUUCGACUCGAUUCGAGCAACUGGUAAGAAGAACACUUGUAGAGCUAGUGAUUGCAAUUCAUUCGUCGCAACAAUUCAGGUUUGAGUUCUUCUUGCUGUGUUCUUCAAGUUCUGGGAAUUGAAUAUAGCUUCUAAUUAUUGUUGUAGUCCUAAUCCAUCGAGUGCAUGGUGUAAGCUACUGUUGGGUUUGAUUAUCUUCUUGUUUAAUUCGUAAAGUCGACUCAAGGUUGUUAUUGGUUCAAAUUACUGUUUUGUUCUUCUGGAAAUUCAGCUGGGAUUGUUGAACUGAUUUUGUAAGUUUCACUUGAUGAAUAAUGCUGUUGUGAACCGAAAUUUCGAACUGAGUAAUGAACAAUAGCUAGUGUUGGGAGUGAAAUCUUCAGUUGUUUAGCUCCCAAUUUUUUUGUUUUGUGCCUCACACAACCGACACUAGUUGUGUGAGACCUCUUUUUUGUCUCACAACUGUGCGGUCCCAGAAUUUUUGUGGACCCAUAUGUGUAAGAUAUGGGUCCACAAAUAUGUGAGAUAAAAAGAGGCCUCACACAACUAGUGUAAGUUGUGUGAGACACAAAAUAAAAUCACUCGAGUGUUGGUUUGAAACUAUCUGCUGUAAAUUUAUUUGAGAAUUAUUGAACUGGUUUUGUGAGUCGACUUGUUUUAAUUCAUUGCUUCCAUAUGAACUCUUUAGAAACAACUUUGGUUGAAUUCUGAAACUCUCGAAUUAAAAACAGCUUCUGGUUUCUGAACAUCUGAGAGUGGAGUUGAGACUGUUUGGUUCAGUUCUAUUUUGAAAGGCUUUAAGUUGAGUUAACUGAGUUUGAGUGAUUGUUACUGAAACACUCUGUUAAUAGCUGUUGCAUUUUGAAGAAAGGCAGAUAAUUGCUUCAGGUUUGGGACAACAUAUGUGCAGAUAAAGUCUGCUCAGCUUAGGCAUUCUGUUCAGAACUUGCACCAGUUAUUUGCUCCAGUUAUCUGCUGAAAUUGAGCAGUAUUUGACAGCAUUCCUGCGCUAUUUUGAAGCUGCAAUUUCUGCUAAGUUUGAGCAGAGUUCUACAUUGUUUAACAGCAAAAUUACAGUUGAGAAAUGUUUCUGCCAGCUACAUUGUGAACCAGUUCUGCUGCUGAAAGUUUGAGGAGGAUUUUUGUUAAGUUGUGAGUCUCUUUUGGGCUGAAAUUCAUCUAGAUUUUUGCUGUAGUCGGGGGUUGAAUUUGGAGGGUGUUGACUGAGGAAUUGACUAUAGUGUUUGAGCUUAAUUUCUGCCGGUUCAACUGCAAUUUCCUAGACUGUGCAGCUGCAAUUUCCAGCUUCAAUCCAUCAAUUUCAGUCUAGUGAAAACAGCUCAAAGACUUUCAGUUAAAAUUCUGUACUUUUGUGGUUAUUUUGGGCAGGAUUGAGCUAUAGUUUGGGACUUGAUUGAAGUUGGAUUGCAACUAGAAUUGGAAGUUCAGGUUUGCAAAUCUGUCUACAUUUACGGAAGUGGCAAAUCUUGGCAAAUCUGUCCAGUUCUUGCAAAAAUGACCAGCUUUACAAAAAUAGCCAGUUUUGCGAAUAUGACCACAGUUUGAAAAAGUGUCUAGUUUUGUAGUUUCUUUUCUUUUCUUUCUUUCCAAUUUGUAGUAAACUAAACGCUAAGCUAGAUUAACUUGAUGUUAGUUCAUAUUGAGUUUAUUUCUAGUUUCUUUGUGUGCCUUAUUUUAUUUCGUGCCAUUUCUUUCGUGUUUUUCUCUUUUAAUUUCAUUGUGAAUUGUUUGGCUCAAGUUCGUUUGCUUUUAGUUGUGCUUUCUUUGGUGUCACAUAAAUUCCAUUCCGAACCGAUACUUGAUUACCUACUUGGAUUGAUUUGAGAACGUUGGUUGUGAAGAGAAUUUUUAGAUACCCUUGUGUGGAAAAAGGCUUGAGUGGUGAGUUCAAUUGAGUGAGGUCGCAAAAGCCUUCGACAGUGUAAACACAAGUGUUGAGUGACAUCUAUAUUGAGUGAAACACUGAGGGAGUGAAUAGUGAGGUCUUAUUUUUGACUAACCAACUUUCUUGCUUUAAGUUUUCUUUUGUAGGUACAAGGAGUCAUAAGGGAGGUAUGGAUGGUUAUGUCGGUUCUUCUUAUGAAACUAUUUGUGCUUCUCCAAGUGUUGGAAUCUUUUAUGAUGAAAGUGGGAAAAGAUAAAUUUGAGGCAUUAUGUAGCGAAUGUAGAAGGCUAUGAGGGUUGUUUGGAUGCUAUAGGUAAUCACUAUUCGACCAACUUUAUUGCUUCUUUCUUUGUUGAAUGGUUGGGAUUGAGUUGUAUUCCAAGGGAGCCGCCUUAUGAAUUUCAGGGUGCGUGGGUGAUAGAGGUGUGAUGGUUACUAUAACCAAAGGAGACCUUGGUUUCUUGAUCAUAAUCUUCCAAUUGAUGUAAAGUGGAAUAUGUAUGUGGUUGAUCUAGAUGGAAGGGGACAUUCCUUCAUUCCUAAAUACUUUGAGGAUAAAUUGGUGGAAAGGCAAGAUAUUGGACAUGGAGUUUGGAGUGCAAAUCAAUUCACAAGUCAUUCUCCUAGUCCAAGGAGAGAUUAUGAUGUUUAUACUAUGCCAAGCCAAGUCGUGUCUUUUGAUGCUUGUUAUAAUGCACCUUGCACUUAUCCGCCACCCCACUACCAACACCAACUACAACCCCCAACCACACUUCAACCUCCACAAGUACAUCAACUACAACCUUAUCAACCUUCACCACAACCUAGACCACCACUAACUCUAUGUCCACAACAUGUGCCUCAAGCACCACCAAGGAGGGACAGUCUCCCUCCUCCACUACCAUACCACCUCAAGAGCCUCGAACGAUUAACAACCCACUUUUUCAACAUGAUCAUGAGACCACCUUGAAUGAGUUGGACAACAUCCAAUAAGUUUUCAGUGACGAAUAUAGGGGGGAUGAAGUGAACUAAAGGGGAAGAGGCCAAAUGAGUUUGAGAACAUCAUUGAAAAAUGAAAAGAGAAAAAGUAAGGAUGAGAGACAAAAGAAAGAGAGAAGUGAGGGAGAGAAAAGUGACAGCUCUAGAUUGGAAAAAGGAGAGAAAGUGUGGAGUGAAGUGAGUGAGUUGUCACAAGAAAAGAGUGAAGAACUUUAAAACAAAAUGAGAGAAAAGAAAGAGGGAAAACAAAAAGAGAGUGGAGAUUUUCCUUAUUCUAAUGCUACUAACCUUUCUUCUUUCUCUAGUUAUUUUGUAUCUUGUGUAGGGACUUUUGGAGAGGAGACAUCAAGUGAAGUUCAAUCAACUUUGAAGAGCCUGAAAGAAGAUCAAACUACCUUUUCAAGAGACCUUAUGGAAUCCAUUGAGCAAGUGCAAGGUAAAGAGAAUACUUUAGAAGUGCUUCAAGGUAAAAUAACUUAUCCUUCUACUUGUAGUACUUUAGUUGAUUGUGGUGACACUGUGAGUUUGAAAGAUAGCUAUGACAUUGGUGAGUUUGAUUUUUCUUUAUCUUGUGAUGUGAAAGAUAAUGGUGGCUUGCAACUAGUUAAGAGUUCUUGUGUAUUGUUGGAUGCUUCUCGCUCUUUGUGUAACGACUCUUUAGCUAAUGAUGUGACUGAUGUUGAGUCUUAUGAUAGUCCACCUUCGGGGAUGAUGAAUGUGAUGAUUCUUUUGACUCUACUUGAACAUUGUUGGAAGCAAGUUUUGAACUUUACGAAGAAACGAGUCAAGAAGAAUGCUCUAUUUCCAAUCCUUUCGAAGAAAGAUUCAAUUGUUAUGAUGAAAUGAGCGAAUGUGAGUGUGGUAAUGAUUUGGUUGCGAGUAAAAAGGAAAAUAAAGUUUUUGAUGCUAGCACUAGUAUUAAUUGCUUUACUUAUCUUAUUCCUACUUUUGAAAGAACAUUCUCGUUAGAUUUUGCUAAUGCUUCUAUGAGAAAAGGUAAGAAUGUUUCUUUUGGUGGUUUGAUUGAUCAUUGUGAGCAAAAAGAACCUAACCUUAUUGAUUAUUUUGUGAAGGUUCAAUAAAGGAAAGUUGCUAAGGGUAAGGAAAGUCUUGAAAUUAACACUUUGGCUUAUUAUUCGUCAAGAGCUUUUUCGUUUGGCCGAAAGCAAGAAUGGUAUGUACACUUGGCUUAUGCUUAUCUUGUGUUUAUCUAAGGCCAUUGAGGUAAAGAUGCAUAACUUUGAGUAUUUUGAUAUUCUUUGUAUGAUUAUUCAAUGAUGAACUUGGCCUAUCUCUUAAGUUGCCAUGUGGAGUUGUUGUUGGAAAGUAUAUGGAUACUUGGGGAUUAAAGUUUGUUUUUGACCCCGGAGUUGUUUCUUAUUACGGUAAAGUGUCUUUCUUUGGAUGGGAGGUAUACUUUUUAUUGUUUCUUAUGACACUUGGUUAUACCAUAAAAGUGUGCACUUUGUUGAGCGUUUUACAAAAUUAUGUUUUUGUUGGAAGUAUGAGACUUUCUACUCUCUUGAUUCUUCUCAUGGCUAUUAUUUUCGUUAUAGUCAAGUUUGUGUCAUUUAUGUUAAAGAUGUGUUCUUUCUAGAUUAUGACACUUGGCUAUAUCAUAAGAGUGUUACUUUUGGGUCAUACUUGUCUCCAUUACUAGUCUCUCAUAAAGUUGUAAUAUGACCUCAUUGAUUAAAUUAAACAGAAAAAAUUUACACUUUACCAUAUCUAGAAAAGGUCAGGUAAAACCUGACUGUUAUAGUUGUAAAAUUAAUUACUACAAUUUGACUAAAUUUUCCAUUAUAGUGAAUUAGAUUCAGUGUCCAUGUGUGAAAUUAGUUCUCCAAAACGUAUCUGAGACAGAGCUCAUUGGAUCAAGGAACAUAAAGAGAUCUUUUUAAUAAGGUUCGAGGUAAGGCAGAUAAAUUGGUUGAAGCUGGAGGGCAGUGCAGAAGUAAGCUAAGAAAGAUCAAAGAAAAACUCAAAACCUAUCAUCGCUUUUCGACAGAUUGUUAAUUACGUCUGAAUCUACAUUUUCACAGUAGUCAGAAGGGGGUUGGCGAGGAGGGGGAAGGAUGUCAUAUUAAUAAUCCAUAUACCUACUUAGACUAUAAUUUACACCUUUAGGAAACCAGUUCAAUAGAUCAAAACAACAAUAGAACGCGACAUAUAUUUACAAUCUCUGUACAGCAAUGUGUGAUAAUAGACGACAUUAAACUAUUGAUAUUUCACUUUAUCGUAUUUUUUUCCCAAUUUCUUUGUCCAUAUAUUUGCUAUUCAUGCUUAUUUUUUACUUUUUUCUCCGGGUGCGCCUUUUUUCAUUAAAGCCCACGCUUUAUUGCGCUUUGCGCCUAAAGCCCCAACGAACCUUAGAGCUUUCUUGCACUUUUCGCCUUUGAUAACACUGGCUUGGAUAUAAUUAUCUUUCUUUUUAAUGCUUCUUAAUUGAGAUUUUGCUACAAAGUGGGAUAGACAAUCAAGUAAUUCAUAUCCUUCUUAUAACCAGUUUGUUUUGGGCUUUAAUUUUUAAAGUUGAAUUUUGGGUCAUGCAUUUAUUCAAAUUAGAGCUAAAUCUUUCAACUGAUGGAGCACUAUUUUGUUAGAGGUUUAAAAGGCUACCUACCUCUUGCUACCUAAUAAUCAGUUUUGUAAGAAAAGGUUUUACUUGUCAAAAAAGGGGGAUGGGUGUAUAAGAAUAGUGUUAACACAUGGUUUGAUGUUCUAAUAUUGAUCAAAGCUUCAAGAACAAUGAUGUUCCAAGGUUCAUUCUACCCAUUUGUAUUCCUCAUACAGCUAACCGUAAUUUGCUUGUAAAAGAUUAGUUCCUAUCCUAUAGGAUCCACUACCUCUCUACUUGGAAUAACAGCUUAUUCUUGCUUGCUUAGGCUCUUAUCUCUCUUGACCUAUCAAGAUAGAUAGGCUAUCUAUAGUAUAUGAAUAAAUGUAUAAGUUCAUCAACAAGCUGUCUUUAUCUCCACUUCUAUUCACUAUUUCCACUUAGAAACCCUCUACGUUUGUAUACGAUAAAAAUUUGGACUGUUGCCUUGUCAAAUUUGCGCAGCUUAUUUGGGAAGAAGGUUGAUCUUUGAUAUAUAAAAUAUGGCUUACUCUUUCUUCAAUCGGGUUUCUGUGGUUCAGUAAUAGAUGUACUGCAAAUAAUUGGACUGUUGCUUAGUAGUCAUAUUAAGAUUCAGCUCAUCUAUCUAGACGUCAAUUUUGCAAAUCAUAGUGAUGUACUUUCAAGGUUUUGCACCUCUCAAGUACAAAGAAGAGAGAAAAACAAAAGCACCCCGCUAAAGUUUUUCACAAAACUAGCGGAAGCGUUCUUCAAACUCACGUUAGAAGAAUGUAAGAUGGAAAGAAACCUCACCCACACGUUCCCAAUCCCGCAUGAUUGCAAGAAGCGUUGAACAAAAGAAAAACAAUGAAAUAAAAAGUAAAUCAUGUUUUUGAAGCAAUAGCUUAGAAAAACUAAUCACCAAUGUUUAUUUUCAGCAUAUUAAGCCCUUUAAAUAGGCCUUACAAUGAGUAAAAUUGGUAAGGUUAAGGAAAACUAAUCCUAAUUAGACUAGAAUAAGAAUAAGGCUAAGAAAACCUAUCCUAACUAAAAUAGGAAAAAGAAUUCUAGUAGGAAUGGGAUACCAACUAACAAUCCUAGUUUGACUAGAACUACAAAUAUACUCCUACUAAAACAAGAAUUAAAUUACUAGGAAACAAGAAAUAACAAAUCCUAAUCUUUAAGGAAAAGAAAUCCUAAUCUUGGAUGGAUUCUUCGCUUCUUGAAUUUCUUGAAUUUUUAGCAUUCUUGAUCUUGCAUCACAUAGACCAAUUGCCAGUUGUAAAAUAGAAUUGUUGAAAGGAAAAAUGGAAAGUUCGGAAAUAAAUAAACAUCUGAAACUUCUCUUGAAGAGCCAAAGCUUGUAAAUACAGUAUUAGUCUUUCAGAUAAAUUCCUUGGGAAUUACAGAGUCUGACAGGACUAGGUGCAUGCUGAAGCACGUUAUGAAAAUACCAUACAACUGAAAAUUGACAUACUUAGUGGAAGUGGAGUCAGUGGCGGAGGGAGAGUAUAACUUACGGGUUCGGCCGAACCCAGUAGCUUUCGUUCAAACCAUGUAUUUGUCUUAAAAACUUCAUUGAACAUGUAUAAAUUAUUUAUUUAGAACCCAGUAACUUAAAAGAUUUAGGAUCCCGAACCCACAAGUUUCAAAUCUUGGCUCCGCCUCUGAGUGGAGUACCAUGGAAGAUGUAUAGGAGUAAAAGAACUACACCAAAAAAGAAGAAGAUGAAAGUUAAAAUACCAGAACACUCAAACAUGUGAAGGAUUAGAGAUGCAAAAGCAUCAAGUGGCAGUUUAGGUUCUAUUUCAAGGUUGCCCUCUAUUUUGAACCGCCAAGCUCAAAAUAAAAUCUGGAACAAUCUUGUUAUGUACUUUUUUUAUGUGAAGAGAAGUUUCUUUCUAAGUUUCUUGUACCCUCAAAUCAUCUUCAACUUUUUUGUUUUUGUUAUGUAUUUAUUUAUUUAGUUCUAUAUUUUGAGUCAAAAAGUGAGAAGAAAUUUGGUCUCAGUCAAAUUCAUGUUAGGAAAUGUCUCCAAAGUAUCCAAUUUGUGACAGUCCAACUUAAUCUGUCAUAAGAUAUUUCUAAGGAUCCGAAGGAUAAGUGGUUUUUUCCCCCCUUGUUUUGUAUUUCCUUCUUUUGUGGGUCAAUUAUGUUCAAUCCUUGUCGAGACUAGUGUGGAUGGAUAUACAUGUGCAGUGCUAUGGAAUUUGGUGUUUAUCAUUUGGAUCUUAAAUUUUCUCUUAGUACUUGCAGGAUAGCGAAGUGCAUCGUGGGAAGCAAUUGUAUCAAAAUGAGGAACGCUAUGCUGCCUUAACUCAUAUGGUGGCUUCUCAUGGACUGGAUCGUAGUUCAAAGGUGCUUCGUCAGACGAAUAUUGGCACUUUUUUCAUGCUUUAGUUCGACUGUUUCGUAAGGUCUGGUUAACUAGGUCCCAGGAAUUAGUCAGAGAUGGUAAAAAGUUAUCAGCUGUCUGGUUCUGAGUUUUGACUCAGACACAGCAUGUCCAAUGUUCUGCGGUCUGCUACUGUCUAAUAUACAGAUUAUCAAGAUAAAUAGGCUUGACAUCUGUGGCAGAGAAGUAGGAUUUGCUUUUACCGGAAAGGGAUGUUUCGUAGCUCAUGAAAGUGACUUUGGUGGAGCGGCUGAUAAGAAUUACACUCAUUGGCAAGGAAAAAAAGUAUGCCUUAGAGCCUUGAUGCGACACUAAAGUGCCCACAAAGCGAGGGGAAGCGCUCAACAUGUUUUGAGCCUCGCUUCAGGGCUUAAGCGCGCCUUUGACAACACUGAUCCAAGCCCACCAUGAGGCACAAAAAGGCCUUCAAAUAUUACUGAACUCAGGGCUGCUCAAUUAGAACAUUAUAUAUAUCAAUUAUACACAAAUACCACGUUUCAAAUUCAUGUUAGUUUUUCCCCAGGAUUUUAGAAACUUCGUACUUCUUUGGAGUGGCCGGAGAGUAUCCUAUCAUCAUCUUAUAAAAAAAUCACUUUUCCCGUUC